GCCCUUGCGCACGACGGAGGGCGGCCCAUGGUCUGUGGGUCGGAUGUCUGGCGGUCACACCCGCCGGGAAGAUCUUCUGGCGGAAACAGAAUCUGCUCCUUUCGGGAAAGGCUGAUUGCGCGGUUACGUGCAGCGUGUGUUGAGGAGUGGCUCUGGAAACUUAAAGAGCCCGACGAUCAAGUGAUCUUGCCAACUACCGUUUUAAUCAGCAUGUUUUAUUUUGUUGUGGUACAGGCUCAGAGCCCAAUGCAAGCCCUGGCAGAUGUCUUCAACACCAGAGUGACACUCAGCCUGAAGGCCAGGAUUGAAGACUGGAAGUACAGGGGCAAGAAAUACCUUUGAAAAUACUCCAGUGUCCAAACUGCUCACUGGUGUUGCUGCCUUUUGAGCCAGGGCACGAGGCUUUGUUGAGGUCACUACUUUUCAUUCCCUCCAAGAUGGACAAGAUGUUUGUUUUGUGCACAGUAAGUGGAACACAGGGCCUCCGGCAUGGUGCUUGUAUGUUCCCUUCAGAAACUAAGGAAUGGAGCAGUGUCUUGAACGUGCUACACAAGCCCCCUAACAGCCAAGCGAAUCCAGCAGCUCUACAGACAUCCUUUCACUGAGCAGUUAUUUCUCCUCCGAUGUUCUGAUCGCUGUGGGCAGCCUCCAAACACUUUUUGAAAAAGCUGGAGAGAAAGGCGAGCUUGAAAAGGGGAAUGCAGGAUAGAGGCAAAGGGAGAGAAGCAGGCAAGCGACUCCACAAUGAUACUCAUUCCUUUAUUGUCAACUGUGUUCAUCUCAACAGGGCUGGGGCCUGCAGGCUGCUGGCAGCACCAAGUUAAGGUGCAUUUCCACUCAACAGAAAGGCCUCCAUCCUAAACCAAGGGGGCAGAGGUUAAUGCUUUAUAUAUAUUUAUAUAUUUAUAUAUUACAUAUGUCCUAGAUAUACAUAUGUCCCAUAUGUAUAGAGUGACAAGAAUGGGCCACUUUGUGUAACUUUAAUUAAAGGCCAUAGCAACAGACAUAGAAAUUUGAUCCUAAUUAAGGCCCGUACUUUGUCAAUCAAAUGUGUGAUACAGUAAAAGAAAAAGGAGAGAGACAGAGACUGAGAUCCAGCCACCUCCAGGAGUCCUGUCUCCAGGGUAUCUUACAUUGAGUGUAGUGCCCCCUGUACAGGUGAACAUAAACACACACAUAAACACACACAUAUAAUACCACAGGCAGGAGCACCUCUUCUGACCACACCUUGGGCCCAGCCUUUGGCUGCGGUGCUGAAGUGGGGUGUAUUGUGCUAUAAGACUGUGAGGGUAGUGGACCAGACAAUGUGGAGUCAGUGUGUCCAAGUGAUGAAUGGGGUGACUCAUGCAGCUUCAUCUACAAAUGACAGAGAGCUCAGGGGGAGGUCCCUCAAUGCCCAGUUCACAUCAGGAGAUUUCUACACACAGCUCCUGUUCCAGAGAAAGCCAUUCCUCUGAUUUGAAUCCUGAGUGUCAAUCACAGGGUUCUGACAGAAACCUGGGAUCCCUUUGAAGGGCAGGCAGCCGCAAGGCUCCGCCAUUCAGUCCAGUGGAGCAGCAGAGAGCACAACAGUGGAGUCAAAGCAAAUGAUGCGCAGACAGGACCCUGAAUGGUGCAAGAGGGGCUCAUUUCCCAAAAGGUCGAGAAGGACUGCUGCCCUUUGCCACACAGAACUUCUGGCAGAUCUGUCAGCUUCAUGUCUUACAUAAGUAACAGACCUGCUCCUAAGCCAGGGAAGGAGACGCCCAACAUUAGGGCACUGGAAAUCCUAACUCCCUGUUUUCUCUCCCCGAAUUUACCCACUACCACCCACCAAAAUAUGCAUAUUGAAAAUAAGUCAACAUAUUUGGCAGUAUGAUUUUUAGUACUAAGAGAAUUUCUUAAUUUUUCAACCUAAUUUUACACUCAAUAAAUAAUAAUUAA
rnacentral:lncRNA from 1 species